rnacentral:rRNA from 1 species
CUCGUAGGCGGCCAACUAAGUCAGACGUGAAAUCCCUCGGCUUAACCGGGGAACUGCAUCUGAUACUGGAUGGCUCGAGUUCGGGAGAGGGAUGCGGAAUUCCAGGUGUAGCGGUGAAAUGCGUAGAUAUCUGGAGGAACACCGGUGGCGAAGGCGGCAUCCUGGACCGACACUGACGCUGAGGAGCGAAAGCCAGGGAGCAAACG